rnacentral:rRNA from 1 species
UCCAACUUGAGAGUUUGAUCCUGGCUCAGAGCGAACGCUGGCGGCAGGCCUAACACAUGCAAGUCGAGCGCCGUAGCAAUACGGAGCGGCAGACGGGAGAGUAACACGUGGGAACGUACCCUUUGGUUCGGAACAACCCAGGGAAACUUGGGCUAAUACCGGAUAAGCCCUUACGGGGAAAGAUUUAUCGCCGAAGGAUCGGCCCGCGUCUGAUUAGCUAGUUGGUGGGGUAAUGGCCCACCAAGGCGACGAUCAGUAGCUGGUCUGAGAGGAUGAUCAGCCUCACUGGGACUGAGACACGGCCCAGACUCCUACGGGAGGCAGCAGUGGGGAAUAUUGGACAAUGGGCGCAAGCCUGAUCCAGCCAUGCCGCGUGGGUGAUGAAGGCCCUAGGGUUGUAAAGCCCUUUCGGCGGGGAAGAUAAUGACGGUACCCGCAGAAGAAGCCCCGGCUAACUUCGUGCCAGCAGCCGCGGUAAUACGAAGGGGGCUAGCGUUGCUCGGAAUCACUG